UUGUUUGUCGCAAAUGAUUUUCUGGACAAAAAAGAAUACAUGUAGAGUGUUGGACAUAAACCUAUCGUAACUUUACGUUUUGACCUCGAUAUAUUUACAUAUAUGCGUAACAGACCUUUCUGACCUGCAGUUAAUAUUUCAGUGUAAGAUUGAAAUAUCUUUUACUAGCGAAUACUAGAUGCAGUAUCGUGAAAAUGUAAGGAUUGGUGUUAAUGAGUGAAAGAUAUUUUUAUCUUACAUGUAAAACAAACAAAGUUUUUUUUUAUUUCAUGUUUUGACUAAAUUUACCGAUUUUAUAGUCUGUUGCCAGUGAAAAAGUAUAUUUAAUACUUUUCAUUGUGAAAAUACCAGAUAUAUUUAAUACUUUUCAUUGUGAAAAUACCAGUAUAUUUAAUACUUUUCAUUGUGAAAAUUUACUGAAAACAUAUAAUAAAAAUAAAAUCAUUCGAAAUAAUACAUACUAGGACUCAGUGAUGGUCCUUUUAGGAUCACGGAGUUUAUUCAAUAUUAUGUGCAAUAGAAUUCCGCUUAAGCCAGAACAAGAGGGCGUGAGGGUUGUUUCACAUUUCAUUACCUUUCGUGAACAGAGUCAAAUUGAGUGUGCUAUAAUUGAAACUAUUGCAUAUUUUGUUCACUAGGUAAAAUACAUUUUGAUCUUACACAAAAACAAGCAAAUAUCCUGUAUUUUUUUCACUCUAGCGUUUCAGCAUUUGACUGAGAAACACAUUACUUAUGAUUAGGUAGUGUUUUACAUUUUGGUCAAAAGUAAACUAUUUCCUGAUCUCGUUUUUUUUUUACAGAAUGUCUCGUUAGAGAUUUUUCGUCUCUGGUGGCAGACAUACAUUACCAUGCAUGCCCCUGCUCAGGUGGCUACACGUGCAAGGGCAAUGGGCAGCUUUCUCAACCACUUGGAGAGCUAGGUACGUGUGUUAAGCAAUGCUCUUCGAGUGCCGAUUGCGGGCGUUUUGAAUGCUGUGUAAGUAAUUCUGUACUGAGAGGUAAAAGAUCCGCUGACCGUGUCACUAGACAAGUGCAGGGCCAAUGUAAGCCGAUGGGUAAACGGGGCUCAGAAUGUCUAGUUCGCAAUGGUUCCGGGAAACCAGAUGGUAUUGUUUUCCAUUCCUGCCCUUGUGGAAAGUCUAAGACCUGCGUCGGAACAGGGAUGAAUACUGUUCCGCUUGGAGAACUUGGGAAGUGCAGGAAAAUACGAGGUUAAAAGAGAGUUUGAAAAAAAAAAGAAUACGAUUUCAUGAAUAAACAAUGUUGUUGUGUUUGUUUCACACAUCUAUAUACACAAAGAUUUGUCAACGUAGAUGCUUACUUUGCAUUUUAAUCUAUAAGGCCAUACCAAACCGGAUCUAUGUUUAGCGUCCACGGGCUAGAACGACAUUUCUUAAAAUGUUAAAACCGCCAGUGACAACGUCUAAACCAUAACCACAAUUGUCCAUUUCAUUAUUGUAUAAAUUCUAACAUACGUUUUAAGUAAUACUACUGACACUAAUUAGGCCUACAAAACUGGGGUGGAGCUGUCCAGUGUGUAAAACUCUUCCGUAAGUACCUCUCAAUGCGUUUUAAUGACUUCUUCGAUGGGUUUUUUUCUGCCUUUAAAAAUGAUCGGGACGAUAAACAUAGGCCCAAUUUGGUAUGAUUUAAGCGUUAUUAUCCGUUUGAUAAAUUGAUUAAAGUCAAAUGUUAUUUCACCUUACUGUUCUUAGCUUAGCGUUUACCGUGCUAAUUUUCUGAAAUAGACUGUUGCAUCAUUCAGUUUGGAAAGUACUACUUAUUAUUCGAAGAGGUGUUCACUGAAUAUGUACUGAUCGCAUUGUGAACAGUGUAGACCACGAUACGCCUACACGGACGUGCAGGCUGGUCUUGAUCUGCACGGGUCGCAAAAGCAAAAUCACUUGCCACCAGUGGUGUUCUUACGCAAGACUUCAUUUUUACGAUCCAAUUUCAGUUAAAAAUGUCACAAAAUGUACUCAUAAAUCGUCACUUCAGCGCAAAAAAGUGGUAAAGCAUUUACCAGCAUACAUUAUGGAAGGCCAUUUGCGCCAUGCUAACUGGAUGGGUCUUAACAUAACCUC